CCGGCUAACUUCGUGCCAGCAGCCGCGGUAAUACGAAGGGGGCGAGCGUUGUUCGGAUUUACUGGGCGUAAAGGGCGCGCAGGCGGUCAUUUUUGUCGAGUGUGAAAGCCCCGGGCUUAACCUGGGAACUGCGCUCGAAACGGGAUGACUAGAGAUCGGGAGAGGAGAGUGGAAUUCCCAGUGUAGAGGUGAAAUUCGUAGAUAUUGGGAAGAACACCGGUGGCGAAGGCGGCUCUCUGGACCGAUACUGACGCUGAGGCGCGAAAGCGUGGGGAGCAAACAGGAUUAGAUACCCUGGUAGUCCACGCCCUAAACGAUGUGUGCUCGCUAUCUGUACGUUUACGUAUGGGUGGCCAAGCUAACGCGAUAAGCACACCGCCUGGGGAAUACGAUCGCAAGAUUAAAACUCAAAGGAAUUGACGGGGACCCGCACAAGCGGUGGAGCAUGUUUUUUAAUUCGAUGAUACGCGAGAAACCUUACCAGCCCUUGACAUGUACAUUUUGAUUUCUGGAAACAGAUUUCUUCGGUUCGGCCGG
rnacentral:rRNA from 1 species